UGUGAGUGAGGGAUACCGGCGAGAAAUCGCCGACAAGCCCGCAUACGCUCUGUUUCUGGACAAGAAAGAGAGGAAAGCUCUCGCGAGAGGGCGCUCGGAGAUGGGCCUGUGGCCGAUUAGCUAGCUGGUGGGGUAAGAGCCUACCAGGGCCACGAUCGGUAGCUGGUCUGAGAGGACGAGCAGCCACACUGGGAUUGAGAACGGCCCAG
rnacentral:rRNA from 1 species